GAUGAACGCUGGCGGCGUGCCUAAUACAUGCAAGUCGAGCGAACAGACGAGGCUCUUGCUCCUCUGACGUUAGCGGCGGACGGGUGAGUAACACGUGGAUAACCUACCUAUAAGACUGGGAUAACUUCGGGAAACCGGAGCUAAUACCGGAUAAUAUAUUGAACCGCAUGGUUCAAUAGUGAAAGACGGUUUUGCUGUCACUUAUAGAUGGUUCCGCGCCGCAUUAGCUAGUUGGUAAGGUAACGGCUUACCAAGGCAACGAUGCGUAGCCGACCGGAGAGGGUGAUCGGCCACACUGGAACUGGAACACGGUCCAGGCGCCUGCGGGAGGCAGCAGUAGGGAAUCUUCCGCAGUGGGCGAAAGCCUGGCGGAACAACGCCGCGUGAGUGAUAGAGGUCUUCGGAUCGUAAAGCUCUGUUAUUAGGGAAGAACAAAUGUGUAAGUAACUAUGCACGUCUUGACGGUACCUAAUCAGAAAGCCACGGCUAACUACGUG
rnacentral:rRNA from 1 species